UAUGAAGUGACGGCUGUUUGUUGCUGGUAAGUUCAUAGGGAUAAGUGGAGUGAGCAAAGCAUACAUAGAAGAAAUUUACUAAAAUUUGCUUGAGCAUCAAGUGAUAUGAACCUUCUUUUUUGGUGCUUGCACUAAUUUGAAUUUCUCAGAACCAUUGAAAAAAAUCAGCACAAUCAUUUGCAAUAACAAGCAUGGGUGCUAGUGAGCCUAAGAGGUCAUUUUAUUUGUUUCAUAGAACUAAAGAGAUUGGAAUCGGUGUUUCCCUUUGUUUUCUCACCACAUUUUGCAUGUAAAUGUGAAGUUUCAUUUACCACUUAGAUAGGAAAGAUGUCUUUUAUGAAUUGUAAUAUCAAGUUACUUAUUUUAUGAUAGAAGUGCAAUUUUAGCCAGCAAAGGAGUGAUUGGAUGAUGCCCAUAUGGUUAUUUUCAUGGUUGUUGGUCUGUUUGUUCAAUAAAAUAGAAUGUGCUAAGGCAAGUAGUUCAUGUAGAUAAUCCUUUGCAGUUAUCUGUUUUGCCCAUGUGCAUGCAAAUGGAAGUUUUGUGUGUUUGCAUUCUAACAGAAGUCCUCUUUUAUUGUUUAACAAUAUUGACACAUUAAGAGAUCAUUUUGUGUCUCUUCCCUUUAUUCAACAAGCUUUAUAAAUCUCAUAUGAUGCUUCUAUUUUUUCUAUGGAUGAUUUUGUUUUCUGGG
rnacentral:misc_RNA from 1 species